AGUGUGACAGGUGGCAGCAAAAGGGCAGUCUGAUGGAAUGGCAUCUGACAUGGAUAAGCAAUUCAGAGCUGCUAAGGAAAUCAUUAAAAAUCUGUGUUCCAUAACAACAAGUGGCAUUGGUCAUCUCAGAAGACAAAAUAUCACCAGAUGGAUGAAUUGAUUGAUGAUCUUGGCAAGUAACGUUAUACAGU